GAUGAAGAACGUAGUGAAAUGCGAAAAGUAAUGUGAAUUGCAGAAUUCAGUGAAUCAUCGAAUCUUUGAACGCACAUUGCGCCCGCCAGUAUUCUGGCGGGCAUGCCUGUCUGAGCGUCAUUUCAACCCUCACGCCCCUAGGGCGUGGUGUUGGGGAUCGGCCAGCGCCCUCGCGGGCGAGGCCGUCCCCUAAAUCUAGUGGCGGACCCGUCGUGGCCUCCCCUGCGAAGUAGUGAUAUUCCGCAUAGGAGAGCGACGAGCCCCUGCCGUUAAACCCCCAACUUUCCAAGGUUGACCUCAGAUCAGGUAGGAAUACCCGCUGAACUUAAGCAUAUCAAUAAGCGGAGGA
rnacentral:misc_RNA from 1 species